rnacentral:ncRNA from 1 species
CGUCGUGAGGCGAGAAGUGGAGAAAGCGUGAAACAAAAUCGUGGCUCGAUGAACAAGAACUUAAUAUCAAGGCUGUAUAAGCGGAUAAGGCUACUGAGCAAGCCAAAGUCCAAAAGAUAUGCGGAACCUUAUGCAGUAAAUUAAGCGAGUAAACGAGGAAAGUUAAG